GGAACGUGGUUCACUGCUCCAUCCCUUGUAGAGUUUUCUACUGGAUCUCUGGAGAAAGCCUCAUUCAACCAGAACAGGCUGCCCCUCAUAGCCCCACACAUGUUCUCAGGGAAAAGGGUGUUUUUGAACAAGUGAAGCUUUGGAGAUGUGCUACAACUGAGGAUUCAAGAAUGUGAGACCUGUGACCUAGUGGACUGUGCAGCACAAGAAUCAUAAACAGGUUACAAAUGUAAGAAAGGAAAAAAGAGAAGAAGGAAAGAAGGAAAAGCGGGAAGGAAAAAGAAGACUGAAGGAGAGGAACUUAUUCCGUGUCUUGGAAUUUUAUAGUAAUUUUAUAGAUUUUCUUUUAUCAUUUGUUUUUAAAAAUUAUUUCAACUUUUAUGCUAGAACAUCAGCUAGUCAGGAUGAAAUGUGUAUCAGGUUUCUCAACUUCCUGUUCUGAGACAAGUGUUGAAUAAACACAUGUAUAAAUACAUAGACUUAAAAUGAGC
ensembl:lincRNA 1700120G11Rik RIKEN cDNA 1700120G11 gene